UCUCACAUCUUCUGCCAGCGUUUAAAGAACCAUGACAAAGCAGAUGCAGGAUCCAAGCGUCUUGUACAGUCUGCAGAAUGGUCCCACUGCAAUUCAGUUGAAUAAGAAAGAAGGAGAAGCUGUGAACUGUAGGUCUAAGGACUUCUCAAACUUUUUCACGUACAUGGAGUCACCCUGGGCUCUUAUCAAAAUGUAGAUUCUGAUUCAGUAGGUCUGGGGAGCUGCUGCUGCUGCUGGUUCCAAACUACGCUGGAUUAAAAAGAGGCAAAGAAGCAGAAGAUAAGCACAGGGUUGCCUGGGAUGAAGUUUGCUCAGCCAUUAAAAGGUGGGAAAGUCUCCUGCUGCUGUGUAUAUGAGAGAAAGCCACUGUUAACGUCAUGUGUCAGCUACCCAUCAAUUGAGGCAGAGGAAGCAAUUGGUUCAUCAAUGGGUUGGUAAGAAGCCCUCCAAACCUUAAUUAUCUGAGUGGAUGGGAAUGAAAUUGCCUCAUAAC
rnacentral:lncRNA from 1 species